rnacentral:rRNA from 1 species
UUGAUCCUGCCGGACCUGACUGCUAUCGUAUUGGUACUAAGCCAUGCGAGUCGUGUAGCAAUACAAGGCGGACUGCUCAGUAACACGUAGUUAACUUAACCUAUGGAUGGGCAUAACCUCGGGAAACUGAGAAUAAUACCCAAUGGACCACAGUGCCUGGAAUGGCCUGUGGUUGAAAUGAUUUAUCGCCGUAGGAUAGGACUGCGGCCUAUCAGCUUGUUGGUGAGGUAAUGGCCCACCAAGGCUAUAACAGGUACGGGCUCUGAGAGGAGGGGCCCGGAGAUGGGUACUGAGACACGGACCCAGGCCCUAUGGGGCGCAGCAGGCGAGAAACCUUUGCAAUGUGCGAAAGCACGACAAGGUUAAUCCGAGUGUCUCCUGCUAAAGGAGUCUUUUGUCAGUUGUAGAAUCACUGGUGAAUAAGGGGUGGGCAAGUUCUGGUGUCAGCCGCCGCGGUAAAACCAGCACCUCGAGUGGUCAGGAGGUUUAUUGGGCCUAAAGCAUCCGUAGCCGGUUGCAUAAGUUUUCGGUUAAAUCUAUGCGCUUA